UACGGAGGGUGCAAGCGUUAUCCGGAUUCACUGGGUUUAAAGGGCGCGUAGGCGGAUGUUUAAGUCAGCGGUGAAAGCCCAGGGCUCAACCUUGGAACUGCCAUUGAUACUGGACAUCUUGAGUACGGGAGAGGUGAGUGGAACACCGAGUGUAGAGGUGAAAUUCGUAGAUAUUCGGUAGAACACCAGUGGCGAAGGCGACUCACUGGCCCGUUACUGACGCUGAGGCGCGAAAGCGUGGGGAGCAAACAGG
rnacentral:rRNA from 1 species